UACGUAGGGUGCAAGCGUUAAUCGGAAUUACUGGGCGUAAAGCGUGCGUAGGUGGUUCGUUAAGUCUGUCGUGAAAGCCCCGGGCUCAACCUGGGAAUGGCGAUGGAUACUGGCGGGCUAGAGUGCGGUAGAGGAGAGUGGAAUUCCCGGUGUAGCAGUGAAAUGCGUAGAGAUCGGGAGGAACAUCAGUUGCGAAGGCGGCUCUCUGGGCCUUACCUGACGCUGAGGAGCGAAAGCGUGGGGAGCGAACAGG
rnacentral:rRNA from 1 species